AGAGUUUGAUUCUGGUCAGGAUGAACGCUAGCUACAGGCUAACACAUGCAAGUCGAGGGGCAGCAUGAUCUUAGCUUGCUAAGAUGAUGGCGACCGGCGCACGGGUGAGUAACGCGUAUCCAACCUUCCCUGUACUAGGGGAUAGCCCGGCGAAAGUCGGAUUAAUACCCUAUGUUUUCCGAAGCGAGCAUUUAAUUUGGAACAAAGGUUUACCGGUAUAGGAUGGGGAUGCGUCUGAUUAGAUAGUAGGCGGGGUAACGGCCCACCUAGUCGACGAUCAGUAAGGGUUCUGAGAGGAAGGUCCCCCACAUUGGAACUGAGACACGGUCCAAACUCCUACGGGAGGCAGCAGUGAGGAAUAUUGGUCAAUGGGCGAGAGCCUGAACCAGCCAAGUAGCGUGCCAGGAUGACGGCCCUAUGGGUUGUAAACUGCUUUUAUAUAGGGAUAAAGUGAGGGACGUGUCCCUUAUUGUAGGUACUAUAUGAAUAAGGACCGGCUAAUUCCGUGCCAGCCGCUGC
rnacentral:rRNA from 1 species